GGGAGGGGCUGUGGUUUCAGAGGCUGACGCAGCUGGCUGGCCUUCUGCUCCUGGUCUCCCGGAGGCUCCCUUCCCUCAGCAAUAGAAGGGUCUUGCUCUGUUGCCCAGGCUGGAGUGCAGUGGUGUGAUCUCGGCUUACUGCAGCCUCUACCUCCCAGGCACAAGCGAUCCUCCCAACUCAGACUCCCGAGUAGCUGGGACUACAGGCACGUGCCACCACACCCAGCUAAUUUUUAUUUUUUGUAGAGACGGGGUCUGGCCAUGCUGCCCAGGCUCCUCUAUAUUUCUUACAUAUGUGAAGGCUCGAUAUGGCUCUCCCAGGAAGAUGGGCAAAGGGGAAUGUGUGAGGGGCUCUGGUCUGAGAACAAAAUCCUCAUGAUUUUUGCUUCAUAGCCAGUAGACAGUAGGUAAUAACUAGAAAAAUGAGCAAAUAGCAACCUAAACAUAUUACUCAGAAAUGAGCUGAUACUCGUAGACAUGCUAAAAUUGCUGAAAAUGGUUGUUCCUGGAGAGUAGUAGUGGGGGUUGGUGUGGGAAACUGCAGCUUUUCAUUUUCAGCCAUGUAAUCCUAUUACCCUGUAUGACUUUGAUAAAAAUUUGAAAGAAUAUGUA